ensembl:lncRNA
GAACUGUCAAAGCUUUUGAAAGACAGGCAAGCGCAAGUGUCUCAUUAAACGGAAUAAAAGGCGUUUAUGCUGCAGCCAAGAAAGCCUUGUGAGAACUGGGCGGAAAAAAUUGUAGCCAUGGGUGCAGACGGUGCAGCUGUCAAUCUGGGACACAGAGGUGGAGUGAUAGCCCUCCUUCAAGCAGAGAUUGGGUCCUUCAUUGUCUCAUUCCACUGCAUGCCACACAGAUUGGAGCUAGGGAUGUUGAGGGUGCAAAGAGAGGUCUCCAUGAUUGGGCAGGUGUAUGACCUGUUGCACCUCAUCUGGAAAACAUACCACCUAACCCCUAAAUCAAUGAGGGAACUCAAAGCACUUGGAGCUGAACAGUCACAGUGAAUGCACCGAGUGGAGUGAAAGGGACCAGGUGGCUGCCCCAUGUGUCCCGGAGUUUGAGGACCUUCCUAAAACCAGGGAAGGAUGGUAAUUCCUCUGGCCAGUUUACAGCCGUGUAUGUGCACAUGGAGCAUCUGGCAGGUGCCUCGGCCAGUGCAGAUAGCUGGCAGAGCAAAGAAGGUCAAAGUCAGCAUGGAGGAUGGGACAUGUGGCAUUUUGCCACUUCCUGUCAGACCUUUUCUCUUCCAUCAGCAACUUCAGCCUGCAGCUUCAGAGAAACAAUGUAAUCCUACCUCAGGCUGUUAGUGGCAUCGAAUCUCUCUUGGCUACCAUAGAAGCUAUGGCAGCUAGCCCCAAACCUGAUGGUAAGCUGUCUGAGUUCCUUGCAGCCAUGAAGAAGCAGCGCCAACAGAGAGGAGGAGAACCUGGGGCUGGGACGUUCAAGUAUCAGGAAGUCACGCUUUCUAAAGGUGAAGCUGCAGAGCGUGCAGAAGGUCAACCAAUCAGCCAGUGUGCUCCCAGACUGCAAAGAGCCAUUGUGCUGACCUGUGAGUCCACAGUGAAACACCUGAAGAAUAGAUUUAGCAGCCUACUUGGGGGGUUGUUGUAUUUUAGCAUUAUAUCAUAGGCACAAUGACAUGUUUAGAGCACUGUUGAGAGGCCUAGCCUUUUUCUGUCUGUCUUUUUCUGAUAGAAGAGAACACAAAGGAUGCACCAACAGCCAAGGCAGUGAAGUGUUUCAAUGUCUUCAGCCAUGACUCUUGGCCAGAUAAUAGGCUGGAGCUCCUGAACCAUGGUGUGGAAGAGGUGAACUCUCUCCUACAACACUUCUCCACUGUCCUGGACAGGAAUGGCUGCAGCAAAGAAAAGGCCAAAGAGGAGUUCCAACUGAUGAAAAUGACGAUAAACACGUCAUUCAAGGACAAAAGCUAUCUUGGACUGUGGCAAGUCAUGACGACAAAAGAGCCCUACUGCUCAGACUUUGCGAAUAUCCUACGCCUGGUCCAAAUCAUGCUGGUGCUCCCAAUCUCUUCAGCAGUCUGUGAAAGAGGCUUCUCGUCAGUAAACAGAAUCAAGUCAGAUGCUAGAUCAGUUCAGUUUGAAUUAAUGAGCUUUAAGUUUAUAAGUUAUUUAUUAUGUCGUUUUUAAGUUACCAGUAAGUUCGAUGUUCAGAAUGUUAUGUUCAAUAUACGUUUAAUACAAUGUAACAGUAUUUUUGUACUGUGGCUCAUGCAGAGAAACUUGAAUUCAGAUUAAAAUAUUUUGCAAAUAUCAAGUUUUGGUCAUUGUCAAUCUUUAACUUUCAUCAACAUAACAUAUUAAUAACACGCUAUACAAAGAAAAAUAUGGUGCUACCUAAUUUGUUUUGGUGCUACUAAAUGAAAAGCUAGGUGGCACCAGUGUUACCAGUGAAAAAGUUAGUCUGGAGCCCUGCAACAGCAACAGUUGCACUGUUUUUCUAAAUGCAUCAGCCGUACUCUCGGUUAAUCUAAAUGCAUAUACAGUGUAUAUAUCAUUGAGGUAAGACGCUAGUCUGCUGUAUGUUGAAGUAGAUUUGUGGUAAUGUUAUCUACUUGCAUUAAAGGUCAUUCCAAAAGGACUUGUGGAGCGCUGCUCCUUCCAAAGCCCCCAGAAGUUCAUAAAUGAUCUCCUACAUGGGAUGUAUACCAGGGAAUAUAUGGCAGGCCAUUCAGUGACUGGCCAGUCAUCCAGCAGCUGCACAGAAGGAAAACCUGGCCUAGCCAAACAGGACCUUGUUGAAAUAACAAAUGCUGCAAAGUUGAAGUUCACCUACGUAACUGAUACGAACAUAAAAGCAUUUAUACGACAAAAGCUGAACAAUGCUGCCAAAUUUCAGAAACAAUAAAUUAUCAACUGUUUAA